rnacentral:rRNA from 1 species
UACGGAGGAUGCGAGCGUUAUCCGGAUUUAUUGGGUUUAAAGGGUGCGCAGGCGGGGGAUUAAGUCGGCGGUGAAAUUUUGCAGCUCAACUGUAAAAGUGCCUUCGAAACUGGUUUCCUUGAGUGUAGAUGAAGUAGGCGGAAUUUGUGGUGUAGCGGUGAAAUGCAUAGAUAUCACGAGGAACUCCGAUUGCGCAGGCAGCUUACUAAACUACUACUGACGCUCAGGCACGAAGGCGUGGGGAUCAAACAGGAUUAGAUACCCG